AUGGGCUUCAAGAUGGAGUCUCAUACUCAGGCCUUUGUAUUCGCGUUUCUCUGGUUGUCUGGUGUUGAUGGAGACAUUGUGAUGACCCAGUCUCAAAAAUUCAUGUCCACAUCAGUAGGAGACAGGGUCAGCAUCACCUGCAAGGCCAGUCAGAAUGUGGGUACUGCUGUAGCCUGGUAUCAACAGAAACCAGGACAAUCUCCUAAACUACUGAUUUACUCGGCAUCCAAUCGGUACACUGGAGUCCCUGAUCGCUUCACAGGCAGUGGAUCUGGGACAGAUUUCACUCUCACCAUCAGCAAUAUGCAGUCUGAAGACCUGGCAGAUUAUUUCUGCCAGCAAUAUAGCAGCUAUCCU